rnacentral:rRNA from 1 species
CCUACGGGUGGCAGCAGUGGGGAAUAUUGGACAAUGGGCGAAAGCCUGAUCCAGCCAUGCCGCGUGUGUGAAGAAGGCCUUCGGGUUGUAAAGCACUUUCAGUGGGGAAGAAAGCCUUGGGGCUAAUACCCUCGAGGAAGGACAUCACCCACAGAAGAAGCACCGGCUAACUCCGUGCCAGCAGCCGCGGUAAUACGGAGGGUGCGAGCGUUAAUCGGAAUUACUGGGCGUAAAGCGCGCGUAGGCGGUCUGAUAAGCCGGUUGUGAAAGCCCCGGGCUCAACCUGGGAACGGCAUCCGGAACUGUCAGGCUAGAGUGCAGGAGAGGAAGGUAGAAUUCCCGGUGUAGCGGUGAAAUUCGUAGAGAUCGGGAGGAAUACCAGUGGCGAAGGCGGCCUUCUGGACUGACACUGACGCUGAGGUGCGAAAGCGUGGGUAGCAAACAGGAUUAGAUACCCCAGUAGUC